AGGAACGGCCCCACUCCACCAGCCGGCCCCGCGGGACGGUUACUCUGUUCCUGAGGUACCCCCCGAGACCGUCUUGGACUACCAGCCUGUCCGCCACCCCUCGGGGCCCUCCCUCCUACUCUGCCCUUGCCCGCUGAGGUCCCAAGCUGAGGAGAUGAGCCGAGCAGUAAAAAGAGAGGAGGUUUGGAAAAGCAAUGUCCUCUCAGUCUUUAAUAGGUGGCCCCCCUGGGAACCUGCUGGAAGUGGAAGUUAAUAAGCUGAAGGUGGUCACAACCAAUCUCUGCCACACUCGCACCCUACCCCACCCCAAAUCAUUCCUUUUAAUUAAUAGUGGAAGACCUUUUUAAAAAUGUAACAUGAAUUGGCUAUUUCUUGAGGCAAACAAAAGGUGGCUCUGAAGCGAUAUAUUUGUACUCGUAUAAAUUCAUUAAAAUAGAAAGCUUAUAACCA
ensembl:lncRNA LINC01016 long intergenic non-protein coding RNA 1016